GAUGAACGCUAGCGGCAGGCCUAAUACAUGCAAGUCGGACGGGAUUCAGGAGCUUGCUUCUGAUGAGAGUGGCGCACGGGUGCGUAACACGUAUGUAACCUACCUUUAUCAGGGGGAUAGCCUCUCGAAAGAGAGAUUAAUCCCGCAUAAAAUCACAGCACAGCAUUGUGUACUGAUCAAAUAUUUAUAGGAUAAAGAUGGGCAUGCGGAACAUUAGCUAGAUGGCGGGGUAACGGCCCACCAUGGCGACGAUGUUUAGGGGAUCUGAGAGGAUGGCCCCCGACACUGGUACUGAGACACGGACCAGACUCCUACGGGAGGCAGCAGUAAGGAAUAUUGGUCAAUGGGCGGAAGCCUGAACCAGCCAUGCCGCGUGCAGGAAGACGGCCCUACGGGUUGUAAACUGCUUUUAGACGGGAAUAAACCCAGAUACGUGUAUCUGGCUGAAUGUACUGUAAGAAUAAGGAUCGGCUAACUCCGUG
rnacentral:rRNA from 1 species